ACAGCGCCCCUUCUGGCCGUUUUCUGUAUAUGUGGUGCUGGGGAAUUGAACCCAGGGCCUCAUGUAUAUGAGGCAAGCACUCUUGCCACUAGGCCAUAUCCCCAGCCCUGCUAUACACUUUUUAACUUUAACUUUUUAAAAACUCAAACUGUGGAUAGCUAUUAAG